rnacentral:rRNA from 1 species
GGGUGCGAUCAUACCAGCGUUUAUCCACCGGAUCCCAUCAGAACUCCGCAGUUAAGCGCGCUUGGGCUAGAGCAGUACUGGGAUGGGUGACCUC